UCUCCAGUUAGCGCUCUCAGCUUCCUGCUGGAUGAGAUGAGAGCUCUCAAUGCUGCUCCAUCUGCCUGCCACCUGCUGUGUUCACUCCGCCAUCAUGGACUCUAAUCCCCUGGAAGAACACAUCUGAUUUCCUGGCAAGUGUCAUUUCGAGAUCCUGCCCACAAUUUUCAAGCGUGUCUUUAUUUUAUAUCAGCAAGAAAUUUACCAACUAGGAGCGCCUGACUUAGUUCAGCUGAAGAUCCUUUCUCCUAUAAAGAAAAAUCCAUCCCACCUUCAACCACCCCAAAGAAAACUCCAGGUGAACUAUAGACAGACACAAAAACCUGUGCACAAACUUACCCUGAGUGCUGCCAUUAUUCAAAAUAUUAAUAAAGUACAGUAAAAACU